UAUGUGAUCGUCUCUCGCAUAUCAAUAAGCGGAGGAAAAGAAACUAACAAGGAUUCCCCUAGUAACGGCGAGUGAAGCGGGAAGAGCUCAAAUUUGAAAUCUUAAAGGGUUUCCCUUUACGAAUUGUAGUUUAAAGAAGUGUUUUCUGUUGAGGUUUUGGUAAAAGUUCUUUGGAAUAGGACAUCAUAGAGGGUGAGAAUCCCGUAUUUGACCUUUACUUUCAACUUUGUGAUACACUUUCAAAGAGUCGGAUUGUUUGGGAAUGCAGUCCAAAAUGGGUGGUAAAUUUCAUCUAAAGCUAAAUAUUGGCGAGAGACCGAUAGCGAACAAGUACCGUGAGGGAAAGAUGAAAAGAACUUUGAAAAGAGAGUUAAACAGUACGCUGAAAUUGUCAAAAGGGAAGCGUUUGACACCAGUGUUGUUUUUCUGAAAAUCAAUUAAAGAACUGUUUAUGCUAAGCUGUUUAGACUUUAUCAGCUAUCUGUUUAGUUUUGAGCUUUUCUUUAAUGCACUUUUCAGUUAACAAGUCAACAUCAAUUUCUUUUGCUGUAAAAAAGCUUGAGGAAGGUGGCUUGAGAUUCGUCUUAAGUGUUUAUAGCCUCUUGCCUAUGCAGUCGGAGAGAUUGAGGUCUGCAGCGUAGAUCCUUCGGGGCUAAAUGCAUUUGUGCUAAGUUAUAGCAUUUUAUAGACAACUUGUUGACUAUGAUUUGUCUUGUAGCUUACUCGCUUAUGUUAUUUUACCUACGCUUAGGAUGUUGAGCGCAUGUCUCUCUCU
rnacentral:rRNA from 1 species